ensembl:miRNA
GCUGCACUUGUAGGGUAGAGCCUGGGAAGCUGUUCCUUUGGGCCGACUCCUUCCCGGUGCCUUGCUCUGCACCCAG